rnacentral:rRNA from 1 species
GGACGAACGCUGGCGGCGUGCUUAACACAUGCAAGUCGAGCGAUGAAGCUUCUUCGGAAGUGGAUUAGCGGCGGACGGGUGAGUAACACGUGGGUAACCUGCCUCAUAGAGGGGGAAUAGCCUUCCGAAAGGAAGAUUAAUACCGCAUAAGAUUGUAAUAUCGCAUGAUAUAGCAAUUAAAGGAGCAAUCCGCUAUGAGAUGGACCCGCGUCGCAUUAGCUAGUUGGUGAGGUAACGGCUCACCAAGGCGACGAUGCGUAGCCGACCUGAGAGGGUGAUCGGCCACAUUGGGACUGAGACACGGCCCAGACUCCUACGGGAGGCAGCAGUGGGGAAUAUUGCACAAUGGGGGAAACCCUGAUGCAGCAAACCGCCGCGUGAGUGAUGACGGUCUUCGGAUUGUAAAGCUCUGUCUUCAGGGACGAUAAUGACGGUACCUGAGGAGGAAGCCACGGCUAACUACGUGCCAGCAGCAGC